UGGUCAGCUGAAAAAGGUCUGCAAUGCAAAGGCUCAAAACAUGGCUCAGAUCUACCAUGUCUGAUGACAGAUUCACAAAAAUGGCACUCAUGUCCUAAGUCAAAGAGAGUCCCUCGUGGUGGAAUGCCUCUGGCCACAGGAGGAGGCCGCUAGUCUUCCAUGAAAGGCAGUGCGCAGGCGCGGGAGUUCCAAAGCGAAACUGACUACGAACCAGACUGCUGCUCUACGGUACCGGAGAAACGUUUAACAAACAUAUCAGGCGUCCAGAAUGUACAGCCUAAGUAAAUGGUUUGGGAGCGAAGGAAUGCGGAUGAGGAGUUUCUACAGUGUGAACGGCAGUAAUGGCUGUAGUCUCCGCAUCUGUGAGGAAUUUAAGCUAAAGUUGAAGGCCAAGGGUCAGACUGAGGUGAUGUUACCAAACCAAUGUGACUACCUCCUGGCCUUCUGUACCAUCAGUACACGGCCGGGGAUUGAUAUCCAUGAGACUAUGGAGAAAUGUCCAGGUGGAAAGCAGGUUAUUUUGGUGGUGCUACAUCAUACCUAUGACCAUGGAAAGUUUGUCUCUCCCAAGGCAAAAGAGAUUUCAGCAAACAUCCUCCUCAGUGUGGACGUCAUGUUCUAUGAGGGAAAGAUGCUGGAAUGCCCCCACAAUGAAAGGGAAUUUGAUAAGAUCCUGAAAAUAGUUGGAUACCCCUAUUCUACGUUCAACCGUUUGAAAAACUGGGUCAUCCGCAUGUGCUAUUGGUUGGUAAAACCGAAGGUGCUGCUGGCUAUUCUCGUGUUCGGAGGAACACUGUGGUUUAUUUUCUCCAAUCGAGAAGUACCAAAGAAAGAUCGCAGUCUCUUCCGCAAGGACUCUGCCAGUUUAUGGAACUACUUGCCAACAUUUUCGAGUCCAUCACCUUGAUGAAUCUAGUAAUUAAGGAUGCUGUCUGUAACAUGUUGAUGGAUGUAAUUAUUCCAGGUGCUGUAGAUAAGAUUUGAAAGAGCGGAAGAGAGCAAGCCAAACAAAAAUAUGUUCUCACCGAGCAUUCCACUCACUAAUAGCUGAAUGAUGCAUGGCAUUUCUAUAAAAUUAUUAAACUCUAUAUAAUAUAAUAAUAGAUCUUAAAUCUAUCAUUUAUGAAUUAAAUACAUCAAAACGUCUAACUAUAAUCUAGAUAAAUAGGGUUUGUUUACAACCAACUGUGUUAAUGUGUUGCCCCAAAUGUGUAUCCAAUUCAUAAAGGAAAUAAAAUACUGAAGAUAUAUAUUUUUGUGACUAUGUAUAAUGAUGUAGCCCAUACACUGGUACACAACUAACAUUAGCUAUACCAGGCCUCCAGUGUAUAACAAAUACCGGCAAAAAAUGCUUAAUUACAAAAUAGUACAAAAUAUAGGUUUAGGUUCGUAACACACACACUUGAAAAUAUACAGCAGCAGGUCCCAUGCCUCAACCACACAGUAAGAAUAGAUCACAAUCAUCAACCAACAAACCAAUCAAUACACAGCGCUAGAUGCUGAUGUCUUAUAAUAUAGGUUAUACUGGGAGAGGUUGAUGCUGCUGCUAAGAUUAUAAUGGGAGUUGUUGAUGCUGCUGGUAGAGUCACUCAAACAUCACAACGAGUUCGCACGAGACGGUUUUUAGUGGGCACGAGACAGUGACUAGUUGGUCCGGGAACCCUUCUCGUGCGGAAUAUAUAUAAUAUAUGUAUGUAUGUAUGCUAUGUACAGUGUUGUGCCUGGACGGACGCGUUCAUUGAACGAUAGUUCAUGAACUCGUUCAUAUUUUCGGCGAACGUGAACUGAACGUACUGUAUCACUGCCUGAUGAACGUUACUGUGAACUUGUUCAUUCUGGUGUCUGUGAACGGCACGCGCACUCGGUUUAACUUCGUUCAAUUGGGGGGUUAUUUGUUUGUCAACACGGCGGAUGCGCGCGCAGAAUGAGAACAUUUGUUUGACCGGUUGCCAUGGUUAUCUCCGUGUGGUUAAUUUGCAGUUGCGGUGUUGUCAGCUUACUGUUACAUUAAACUGCAAUCAGAAAAUGCGGUUAUAUGCUAUAGACCAGGGGUGCCCAACCAGUCGAUCGCGAUUUACCAGUCGAUCGUGGGCGGAGUUUCAGUCGAUCGCGAGAAGUGUAUGAAAAAAAAAAUAAUAAUUAUAUACAAAAUAAAAAACACUAAUCAAAUCAUUGUUCAUGAGAGGCCAAUGUGUAUUUUCAUAAUAAUAAAAUGAAAAAUAAAAAUAGGUAUGCAGGCAACCUUUUUUAUUCAUGCUAGAGUCUGAUUGCUGGCCAUGGUUUGCCACGGUUGCUAGGUUGUAACCAGGGACUCUACAGCGGGAAGACGUAGCUGUCAGUUGUAGAGAUAAUGUCGGAAGCCAAAAAAGCUAAAACUUAUCACUUUCAUCGCGAGUGGGAAGAUGAUUACUUUUUUACUUUUUCAAAUUCAAAGUCGGUUUGUCUGAUCUGUAAUGCUGCUGGGGCCAUUCCGAAGAAGGGGAAUUUGGAGCGACACUUUCUUACGGUUCACAAGAAGUAUGCUAGUGACUUCCCGGCGAGAUCAGCUCUACGGACUGAGAAGGUUUCUGAGCUGAAGAGACAACUAGCCGCAAAGCAGGCAGUGUUUACGAGUAGCGUCUUACCGUGUCAGUAGAGUUCUGGCAAAGCGAAAAAAAAGUUUUAAAGAUGGGGAAGUUUUCAAGGAAGCUUUUUUGGAAGCCGCUGACACGCUUUUUGCUGACUUCAAAAACAAGAAAGAGAUUGUGUCCUCUAUUGAAGAUAUGCAGCUGUCCAGGAACACCGUUACAAGGCAGUGCGAGGCCAUGUCAGGGGAUAUAGAACAGCAGCUACAAAAUGACAUUGACGCCUGCCUUUGUUUUUCCUUGCAAUUUGAUGAGUCGACUGAUGCUGUGGAUGUGGCGCAGUUGUGUGUUUUCAUUCGGAUGGUUUUUCUUUCCCGGAUUUUUUGAGCUACCACUGCAUCAUUCAUCAACAACAGCUGUGCGGCAAGAUUUUAAAUAUGAAGGACGUCAUGGAUGUUGCGAUGAAGAUCGCUUGCUCUGUUUGGGCCAGGAGUUUACAGAGGCGUUUAUUCCGUGCCCAGCUGGAGGAGGCAGGUGCAGACCACACAGAUCUGCUGCUGCACACUGACGUCAGGUGGCUGAGCCGUGGCAGAUUCCUCGAAAGAUUUUUGGAACUUUUGCCCGAAAUUAAAGAGUUCCUGAAACACUCAACAACCCAUGCUGUUGCUUAUUCCCAGCUGGAAGACGGUCAGUGGCUCACUGAUUUGGCCUUUCUCACCGAUGUCACCAAUAAGAUCAAUGACUUGAAUCUCGAGCUGCAGGGGAAAGGAAAGCACAUCGCCAACAUGAUCAGUUCAGUGAACGCAUUUAAAACAAAGUUACGCCUGCUGUUAAGCAGGUUGUAGCGGUGUGACCUGAGGAGUUUUCCACACAUGGAGGCAGAGCUCCGCCGCCAGGGCAAGGAAAGUGUGGAGCUGUCAGAUGCUUAUGCGCAACAAAUUCAAAGCAUUCUAUCGGAGUUUGAGCGCCGGUUUGCGGACUUUGCUUCCAUUGAGCCCGUUGCCCAGUUCCUAUGCUUUCCAUUUGCAAAUGUUGAUGUUGAUUGCAUUGCCCCCCAAAUAGCCACGCUCUUCAGCCUGGACGGCAGUGCUGUGGAGAACGAAAUUCUUACUCUCACAAAUGACAUUGAGCUAAAAGCAAGAGCAACACCUGGCAUAAGUGGCGAAUUUUGGAACCUGUUGCUGGAAGAGAAGAUCAUCAAGUCGAAGUACAGAAUGACAUUGACUGAUGACCACCUUGCGGCCUGCCUAAGGCUGGCGCUCAGCUCCUACCGCCCGGAUUAUGAGAAGCUUGCUGACUCCUCCCAGUGCCAGAAGUCUCACUAAGGUAGAGACG